rnacentral:lncRNA from 1 species
GCCCUCGGUCCCACCACCCGCCCGGCGGCUGGAGUCUCUGCUGCCCGAGGUCCUGAUGGGCACCCGGCGUGCCUGGUUUCUUAAUCGAGUUCCGUCUGCUCAGCUGUUGCACGCUCUGUGAACCAGCCCUGUCAGCACCGCCCUGACUCCUCCGGGCCGAUUGUGGGCCUCCGGUUCCCCAUCUGUGGAAAGGGGAGAGUCCAGGAAGUGGCCUCCGAAGUCCCUGCGGGCCGCUCGCGGCGCGGAGGCCACAAGAGCCGGGCGAGAGUAGACACUCUCACCCUGGACUGAUGCCCCGAAGUUGCCUCGGGGAUCUCCCCACCCCGGCGACCCCGCUCUACCGAGCGGCUGCUCCGGGAGUCGGGGCAGCGCCCUACUUUGCUCGGCCCCCACCUGCCCCGGCCGCGUCCUAGUACUCGCGCCGGGACGCGCGGAGCCCCAACGUCCUCUGCCCGCCCCGCCCCAGCCCCGCCUGGCUGGCGCCGACCGCGGCCCGGGUGGGGCUCGCAGGCUGCAGAGGAAGGACCGGGCGGAGGGGUUGCCCGGCUUCCUACCCGCUAGAUGUGGCCUGGGGAGCUGCGUUUUGUUCUUGGGAAUACAGAUUCCCAGGCACCGCCUGAUUCGCGGUAGGGGCUCAAUAAAUAUUUGCUGAAUGGAUGAAUGAAUAUCCAUUGGUUAAGGGUUAGGAUUGGUAAUUAAGUUAGAACACGACUGUAUAAUAACAGAUAACUAAGCUGAAUAGCUUUUCUCUCUGUGAAAGACACACAAAUGCACAGCUAUGACUAAAUUAAGCCACAAUUGUUUAAAAACAAAUAAAG